CCUAGGUGAUUCAUACACACACUGCAAUUUAAGAAACACCGAGCUAGUGCAUAGCAAACAGAAAUCCACUUAGAAAAAUUCUAUGCACCCACCAGCUACUGAGAAAGCAGCCCCCUGAAGAGCAGCUACACAGGCUCCAGAUGUUGCCAUCGCUGGCCUGGGACAUCUUCUGAGGCCAAAGCCUGCCCCCAGCAAAGCUGCUGACAGGAGCUGACUUUUAAGGACCCCAAGGCCAACCAGGCGCAAUGGCUCACACCUGUAAUCCCAGCACUUUGGGAGGCCGAGGUGGGAGGAUGGCUUGAGCCCAAGAAGUUCAAGACCAGCCUGGGCAACAACACAGGGAGACCUCAUCUCUACAAAAAACUUAAAAAUUAGCCAGGCAUGGUGGCACUUGCCUGUAGCCCCAGCU
rnacentral:lncRNA from 1 species